rnacentral:rRNA from 1 species
AUCCUGGCUCAGCGCGAACGCUGGCGGCAUGGCUAAAACAUGCAAGUCGAACGCGAAAGCACUUCGGUGCAAGUUGAGUGGCGAAAGGGCGAGGAAUAAGUACCUAACGUGCCUUCAGGUAAGGGAUAGCUCAUGGAAACGUGUGGUAAUACCUUAUAAUCUCACUGGUCCAUAUGGACUUUUGAGCUAAGGCUUGCUGCCUGAAGAUCGGGGUACGUCCUAUCAGGUUGUUGGUGAGGUAAAGGCUCACCAAGCCUAAGACGGGUAGCGGGUGUGAGAGCAUGACCCGCCGCAUCGGGACUGAGACACUGCCCGGACUCCUACGGGAGGCUGCAGUAACGAAUAUUCCGCAAUGCACGAAAGUGUGACGGAGCAAUGCCGCGUGCAGGAUGAAGCCUCUAGGGGUGUAAACUGCUGUCAGGGUUUAGGAAUAAAUGACCAGACCCAAAGGAAGGACCGGCUAACUUCGUGCCAGCAGCCGCGGUAAUACGAAGGGUCCGAGCGUUGCGCGGAAUCACUGGGCUUAAAGCGUGCGCAGGCGGAUCCGUAAGUACCUUGUGAAAUCCCAUGGCUCAACCAUGGAACUGCUCGGUAUACUGCGGAUCUUGAGAUCGGUAGGGGCCAUCGGAACGAUAGGUGGAGCGGUGAAAUGCGUAGAUAUCUAUCGGAACGCCAAAGGAGAAGUCAGGCGGCUGGGCCAUUACUGACGCUCAUGCACGAAAGCGUGGGGAGCGAACGGGAUUAGAUACCCCGGUAGUCCACGCCCUAAACGAUGUGCACUAGGUCCGGGAGGUUCUGACACCAUCCGGGCCGAAGGAAAACUACUAAGUGCACCGCCUGGGGAGUACGGUCGCAAGGCUAAAACUCAAAGGAAUUGACGGGGGCUCACACAAGCGGUGGAGCAUGUGGCUUAAUUCGAAGCAACGCGAAGAACCUUAUCCAGGGCUUGACAUGUAUGGAUUAUUGAUCCGAAAGGUGAUAGACGCUCUCUGAGUGGAACAUACACAGGUGCUGCAUGGCUGUCGUCAGCUCGUGCUGUGAAGUGUCGGGUUAAGUCCCUUAACGAGCGAAACCCCUAUCCCUAGUUGCCAGCGUUAUGCUGGGGACUCUAGGGAGACUGCCGGCGUCAAGCCGGAGGAAGGUGGGGAUGACGUCAAGUCCUCAUGGCCUUUAUGCCCUGGGCUGCACACGUGCUACAAUGGUACAGACAGAGCGACGCAAUACGGCAACGUGGAGCAAAUCGCACAAACUGUGCCCCAGUUCGGAUUGUGGUCUGCAACUCGACCACAUGAAGUUGGAAUCGCUAGUAAUCGCGUAUCAGCUACGACGCGGUGAAUAUGUUCCUGAGCCUUGUACACACCGCCCGUCACGUCAUGGGAGCCGGUAGCACCCGUAGCCGUC